rnacentral:rRNA from 1 species
GACGAACGCUGGCGGCGUGCUUAACACAUGCAAGUCGAACGGAAAGGCCCUGCUUUUGUGGGGUGCUCGAGUGGCGAACGGGUGAGUAACACGUGAGUAACCUGCCCUUGACUUUGGGAUAACUUCAGGAAACUGGGGCUAAUACCGGAUAGGAGCUCCUGCUGCAUGGUGGGGGUUGGAAAGUUUCGGCGGUUGGGGAUGGACUCGCGGCUUAUCAGCUUGUUGGUGGGGUAGUGGCUUACCAAGGCUUUGACGGGUAGCCGGCCUGAGAGGGUGACCGGCCACAUUGGGACUGAGAUACGGCCCAGACUCCUACGGGAGGCAGCAGUGGGGAAUAUUGCACAAUGGGCGGAAGCCUGAUGCAGCAACGCCGCGUGCGGGAGGACGGCCUUCGGGUGGUAAACCGCUUUCGCCUGUGACGAAGCGUGAGUGACGGUAAUGGGGAAAGAAGCACCGGCUAACUACGU